rnacentral:tRNA from 1 species
GGUCUCAUGGUGUAAUGGUUAGCACUCUGGACUUUGAAUCCAGCGAUCCAAGUUCAAAUCUCGGUGACACCU